rnacentral:misc_RNA from 1 species
GAUGAAGAACGCAGCGAAAUGCGAUAAGUAAUGUGAAUUGCAGAAUUCAGUGAAUCAUCGAAUCUUUGAACGCACAUUGCGCCCUCUGGUAUUCCGGGGGGCAUGCCUGUUCGAGCGUCAUUAUAACCACUCAAGCUCUCGCUUGGUAUUGGGGUUCGCGGUUCCGCGGCCCCUAAAAUCAGUGGCGGUGCCUGUCGGCUCUACGCGUAGUAAUACUCCUCGCGAUUGAGUCCGGUAGGUCUACUUGCCAGCAACCCCCAAUUUUUACUGGUUGACCUCGGAUCAGGUAGGGAUACCCGCUGAACUUAAGCAUAUCAAUAAGCGGAGGA